GACGAACGCUGGCGGCGUGCUUAACACAUGCAAGUCGAACGGAAAGGCCCUGCUUUUGUGGGGUGCUCGAGUGGCGAACGGGUGAGUAACACGUGAGUAACCUGCCCUUGACUUUGGGAUAACUUCAGGAAACUGGGGCUAAUACCGGAUAGGAGCUCCUGCUGCAUGGUGGGGGUUGGAAAGUUUCGGCGGUUGGGGAUGGACUCGCGGCUUAUCAGCUUGUUGGUGGGGUAGUGGCUUACCAAGGCUUUGACGGGUAGCCGGCAUGAGAGGGUGACCGGCCACAUGGGUACUGAGAUACGGCCCAGACUCCUACGGGAGGCAGUAGUGGGGAAUAUUGUACAAUGGUCGGAAGCCUGAGGCAGCAACGCCGCGUGCGGGAUGACGGCCUGCGGGUUGUAAACCGCUUUCGCCUGAGACGAAGCGUGAGUGACGGUAAUGGGUAAAGAAGCACCGGCUAACUACGUG
rnacentral:rRNA from 1 species